rnacentral:rRNA from 1 species
GACGAACGCUGGCGGCGUGCCUAAUACAUGCAAGUAGAACGCUGAAGGAGGAGCUAGCUUCUCUGGAUGAGUUGCGAACGGGUGAGUAACGCGUAGGUAACCUGCCUGGUAGCGGGGGAUAACUAUUGGAAACGAUAGCUAAUACCGCAUAAGAGUAGAUGUUGCAUGACAUUUGCUUAAAAGGUGCAAUUGCAUCACUACCAGAUGGACCUGCGUUGUAUUAGCUAGUUGGUGGGGUAACGGCUCACCAAGGCGACGAUACAUAGCCGACCUGAGAGGGUGAUCGGCCACACUGGGACUGAGACACGGCCCAGACUCCUACGGGAGGCAGCAGUAGGGAAUCUUCGGCAAUGGACGGAAGUCUGACCGAGCAACGCCGCGUGAGUGAAGAAGGUUUUCGGAUCGUAAAGCUCUGUUGUAAGAGAAGAACGAGUGUGAGAGUGGAAAGUUCACACUGUGACGGUAUCUUACCAGAAAGGGACGGCUAACUACGUG